UGGAAAUCUCUAUAAAGUUUUUAGAGUGACAUAAUAAAAGGGCCCCUAUGACUACAGAAUAGAGAAUAAAUUGAGAGUGAGUUGGGGCAAAAGCAGGUAGACUAAUUAGGAAGCUAGUGCACUAGUUUAGGCAAGAGAUGAUGGGGUUCGGUGCAGACUAAUAGCAAGGGGUAAAGGAGACAUGGUCUAAUUGAAAAUGUAGCUAAUGAUUUGCUAAUGGGUGGGAUAUGAAGUCUCUGUUCUCCACCAUGCCCACUGUUGCAAAGGUUGCAGCCAAUCCCAGGCUUUUCAGCAAUUGAAGUCCAGACAGAUACAGGGAUGUUGAUCAGGUAUGGAGCUCAUUGGAGACUCUGAGAGGAGAGUUGGCAACAUCCUGCUGAGCAACAGAAUGGAAAGGAGGAGAAUUGACCAGAAAAUUUUAUUUAUUUGAGAGAGAGAGAUUGAGAGCCAACACAAGCAGUGGGAUGGGCAAGGGGAGAUGGAGAACCAGGCUCCCCACUGAGCAGGGAGCCCGACGUGUGGCUCAAUCUCAGGACCCUAGGAUCAUGACCUGAGCCAAAGGCAGAUGCUCAACUGCUGAGCCACCCAGGUUAAUCCUUCAGCUUCCCCAUGCCAACAACUUCUGAUCAGAGCACACCUACAGUCUUUCCUUUUUUCUACUAUAAAGCUUUCCCAUUCCUCUGCCUGCUUUGAGUCUCAAAAAGCAAAUAAAGGUCACUGACUCUC